GAUGAACGCUGGCGGCGUGCCUAAUACAUGCAAGUCGAGCGAACAGACGAGGAGCUUGCUCCUCUGACGUUAGCGGCGGACGGGUGAGUAACACGUGGAUAACCUACCUAUAAGACUGGGAUAACUUCGGGAAACCGGAGCUAAUACCGGAUAAUAUAUUGAACCGCAUGGUUCAAUAGUGAAAGACGGUUUUGCUGUCACUUAUAGAUGGAUCCGCGCCGCAUUAGCUAGUUGGUAAGGUAACGGCUUACCAAGGCGACGAUGCGUAGCCGACCUGAGAGGGUGAGCGGCCACACUGGAGCUGAGACACGGUCCACACUCCUACGGGAGGCAGCAGUAGGGUAUCUUCCGCAUUGUGCGAAAGCCUGACGGAGCAACGCCGCGUGAGUGAUGAAGGUCUUCGGAUCGUAAAACUCUGUUAUUAGGGAAGAACAAAUGUGUAAGUAACUAUGCACGUCUUGACGGUACCUAAUCAGAAAGCCACGGCUAACUACGUG
rnacentral:rRNA from 1 species